CCUACGGGAGGCAGCAGUGAGGAAUAUUGGUCAAUGGGCGCGAGCCUGAACCAGCCAAGUAGCGUGAAGGAUGACUGCCCUACGGGUUGUAAACUUCUUUUAUAAAGGAAUAAAGUGAGGCACGUGAGCCUUUUUGUAUGUACUUUAUGAUUAAGGAUCGGCUAACGCCGUGCCAGCAGCCGCGGUACUACGGAGGAUCCGAGCGUUAUCCGGAUUUAUUGGGUAUAAAGGGAGCGUAGAUGGGUUUUUAAGUCAGUUGGGAAAGUUUGCGGCUCAACCGUAAAAUUGCAAUUGAUAAUGGCAGUCUUGAGGACAGGUGAGGUAGGCGGAAUUCGUGGUGUAGCGGUGAAAUGCUUAGAUAUCACGAAGAACUCCUAUUGCGAAGGCAGCUUACUAAACUGCCACUGACAUUGAUGCUCGAAAGUGUGGGUAUCAAACAGGAUUAGAUACCCCGGUAGUC
rnacentral:rRNA from 1 species